rnacentral:lncRNA from 1 species
UUUUCUUCAUUUGAUUAAUAUGAAGAAUAUUAUCAUUAAGUGACAAGAAUAAAAUACUAUUAUUAAUAAAAAUAUUUCCAUAAUAUUUAUUAGAAAAAUAAAUAGAGCAACUAUUAUCCUUUCUUCUUAUUUUAAAAUCUUGUUCCAGUAAUAUAGGUAUAGAACUAAUAUUUCUAACAAUGUUAAGGGCAUAAUAACAAUCCUUCAAUUUCAAAACUUUGUCUGAAGAUAACUUCAACAGCUUGAUUCCUCUGACUUCAGCUUGAAUGGACUCUCCACUAAUGCCGAACAGUAUGAAGUUACCUUCAUUCAGACUCC